rnacentral:rRNA from 1 species
UACGUAGGUGACAAGCGUUGUCCGGAAUUACUGGGCGUAAAGCGUGCGCAGGCGGUUGUGCAAGACAGAUGUGAAAUCCCCGGGCUUAACCUGGGAAUUGCAUUUGUGACUGCACGGCUAGAGUGUGUCAGAGGGGGGUAGAAUUCCACGUGUAGCAGUGAAAUGCGUAGAUAUGUGGAGGAAUACCGAUGGCGAAGGCAGCCCCCUGGGAUAACACUGACGCUCAUGCACGAAAGCGUGGGGAGCAAACAGG